ensembl:snRNA U6 U6 spliceosomal RNA
GUGCUCGCUUCAGCAGCACAUAUAUUAAAAUUGGAAUAAUACAGAGAUUAGCACGGCCCUUGCUCAAGGAUGACACAGAAAUUCAUGAAGCGUUCCAUAUUUUU